GCGGGAAGAGUCUGCAGGGAAGAUCAUGGGAAACCAGGAGGAUUCUGGGAUGCAGGAUGAGACUGCUGCGGGGACAGAUUAAACACAGUCGACUGAACGCAGACUGACUGUCCUCCAGCAGAGACUCCAGAGCAGCCAUCAGGGGGAGUGGUCUGAGUCUGUGUUUACACUGGUUACUAAGCUACAUCACUGGAGGAAGCGGAGCCACAGGGUAAACAGACCAGCCUGCUUAAAGCUGAUAGAGACGCCGCACUGGUUUGGGCCCAGGCAGGAUCUUGAACCUGGCUAGAGUCAGAGCCACCACCACCUUCAUCUCUGCCAUGGCGAAGUUCUGUCCGAUGCAGUUCCUGCAGAUGGAGAUAUGCACCGAGACCAAAAUCACAUACUUCUCUCAUGGAGCAGAUCUCUGACUUCAGCUCGGCAGCGCUCCUGAUAAUCCUGAUUCAUGGCCAGAUUGUAGAAGAUCCAGGAGAGAGCGCUGGCG